rnacentral:rRNA from 1 species
UGGGGAAUUUUGGACAAUGGGCGCAAGCCUGAUCCAGCAAUGCCGCGUGCAGGAUGAAGGCCUUCGGGUUGUAAACUGCUUUUGUACGGAACGAAAAGCCCUGGGUUAAUACCCUGGGGUCAUGACGGUACCGUAAGAAUAAGCACCGGCUAACUACGUGCCAGCAGCCGNGGUAAUACGUAGGGUGCGAGCGUUAAUCGGAAUUACUGGGCGUAAAGCGUGCGCAGGCGGUUUUGUAAGACAGAGGUGAAAUCCCCGGGCUCAACCUGGGAACUGCCUUUGUGACUGCAAGGCUAGAGUACGGCAGAGGGGGAUGGAAUUCCGCGUGUAGCAGUGAAAUGCGUAGAUAUGCGGAGGAACACCGAUGGCGAAGGCAAUCCCCUGGGCCUGUACUGACGCUCAUGCACGAAAGCGUGGGGAGCAAACAGGAUUAGAUACCCUGGUAGUCCACGCCCUAAACGAUGUCAACUGGUUGUUGGGUCUUAACUGACUCAGUAACGAAGCUAACGCGUGAAGUUGACCGCCUGGGGAGUACGGCCGCAAGGUUGAAACUCAAAUGAAUUGACGGGGUCAUAGCUGUUUCC